GUUACAGUGGCUUAGUGGUUAGAACGUUUGUCUCGCAAGCUCAUGGUUGAAGGUUUGAUUCCCACAUCUUUCG